rnacentral:rRNA from 1 species
UNGNNAGUAGACAACAGGGAUUGCCCUAGUAACGGCGAGUGAAGCGGCAACAGCUCAAAUUUGAAAUCUGGCUUCGGCCCGAGUUGUAAUUUGUAGAGGAUGCUUUUGGUGAGGUGCCUUCUGAGUUCCCUGGAACGGGACGCCAGAGAGGGUGAGAGCCCCGUAUAGUCGGCCACCGAUCCUUUGUAAAGCUCCUUCGACGAGUCGAGUAGUUUGGGAAUGCUGCUCAAAAUGGGAGGUAUAUCUCUUCUAAAGCUAAAUAUAGGCCAGAGACCGAUAGCGCACAAGUAGAGUGAUCGAAAGAUGAAAAGCACUUUGAAAAGAGGGUUAAAUAGCACGUGAAAUUGUUGAAAGGGAAGCGCUUGUGACCAGACUUGUGCCGGGCUGAUCAUCCAGUGUUCUCACUGGUGCACUCGACCCGGCUCAGGCCAGCGUCGGUUUUCGUGGGGGGAUAAAAGCUUCGGGAACGUGGCACCUUCGGGUGUGUUAUAGCCCGUUGCUUAAUACCUCCGUGGAGACCGAGGUUCGCGCUCUGCAAGGACGCUGGCAUAAUGGUCAUCAGCGACCCGUCUUGAAACACGGACCAAGGAGUCGAGGUUUUGCGCGAGUGUGUGGGGGGGGGAAA